rnacentral:misc_RNA from 1 species
GAUGAAGAACGCAGUAAAAUGCGAUAAGUAAUGUGAAUUGCAGAAUUCAGUGAAUCAUCGAAUCUUUGAACGCUCAUUGCGCCCGCUGGUAUUCCGGCGGGCAUGCCUGUUCGAGCGUCAUUUCAACCCUCAAGCCCCCCGGGUUUGGUGUUGGGGAUCGGCUCUGCCUCACGGCGGUGCCGCCCCCGAAAUACAUUGGCGGUCUCGCUGCAGCCUCCAUUGCGUAGUAGCUAACACCUCGCAACUGGAACGCGGCGCGGCCAUGCCGUAAAACCCCAACUUCUGAAUGUUGACCUCGGAUCAGGUAGGAAUACCCGCUGAACUUAAGCAUAUCAAUAAGCGGAGGA